UGCUCUGCGCACGGUAAAGUACUUUUGGCGAAGAUUAAGUGUAGUAUCUGUUCCUAUCAGUUUAAUACCUGAUCUGUCCUCGAUAUGAGGACGCUGCAUCAAGCGUCUUUUUGGAGGAGGGAGGCGGGUUGGAGCCUGGCUCCGUCCCGUCCUCGCAUCGGCCUGGCAUGGCAGUGCUUCCAGGACUCGUCCCCGAUUA